rnacentral:rRNA from 1 species
AAUUAACCUAACAAAAUUGUCUGCCAGAGAACUACUAGCAACAGCUUAAAACUCAAAGGACUUGGCGGUGCUU